rnacentral:lncRNA from 7 species
AAACCCCACCCCUAACUAAUGGCCCCUUAUCGUUCCCAUUGUUCUUGCUCAACUACUCUUAACAACCUAACAAACCUAACAGAUUAGCCUUUUAUUCAAUAGAAUAACUUCUCAAACAUUUUUAAGCAGUAUUAUUUAUCAGUUUAUGCCCUGGGUCCAAUGCCUUUGUUGAGUCUCAGUAAACUUUGCAGAGCUAAAAAAAGUUUACUAUUGGAAUCAGCAACAUGGGUACAUGAAAUGGGUUUCUUUCCGUUUCAACCUUCUAUCUGAAUCACGGGCACAAACUUCAGAAAUAGUGGAUGACAGUAGAGAGGAUGGGUUUACUCGAUAAAGAGUUAAAAAGGAAAGCAAUUAGAAUAUUAUUUUGUUAAUGGAUGACCCCAUUGUUCCCAAAUGACCUCUUCUAUCUUUUGAUGUCUCAAAACUCCAUGCUGAGCGUGAACACGUGCUUCAGAAAAGCUACUUUCCUACUGCCUUCGGCACUGACAGCUCAUACUCCUUGAAAAUCUGUUUAUUAAUGAGGAAGAGUUUUGCAUGUCAUAAGUAGCCCAAACACUGUAUAAAAACUAAGUUCAGGACAUUUAUCUGAGGUUGGACUUACUCCACAUGCAUGUCUCUCACAUCGCUUGCUGCAGUUCUGUUUAUCUCAGUCUCAUUUCCCUCUACUGAUCUGGACUGUAGCUACAUUUGCCUUGGAACCAUGCUCAUCUGGCCUGCAACACCACAAACUAUAGGUUGGCCCCAUCUGAAGUCAUGUGUGACAUGACAGACGCAUUAUUAUUUUCAUCUUUUCUUGGGAUAUGGAUCCCUGACUUCGCUGGAAAUGUAAAUUAAGUACAACUAAUAUUAUUGCACAUACUUUUCAUUUUACGGAGUUGAUCAUUGAUAUGUUGGUGUAACUGCACCACAAACAUUAUAUUUUUCCUUAUGUCCAUAAUCCUGUCUAACAAUUCCACAUGGUAUCUGUAAUAGGACUGCCAAUCAAAAAGGAGCCAGGGAAAAACACUAUCUCUAAGUACAAGGUGGCUUUGGAACACUUUCAACAGAGAUAAUUCUCAGACUAAACAGCACCUGCAAAGCUGCCAAAACAACUGGCAACUGGGUUCACCAGGAAGCCAGCUUCCAACACUAAUAACAUGUUAUCUGCCAUCUGAUAACUAGGUCCUGGGAAAUACAGAAAAGCUACAAAUUCUCAGUUCAAGUGGCACUAAGUUAUGAAGGAUCUUGUUAAAAUAUCAGGUGCAAACUCUCUAUGUAAUUUAUAAUGUGUGUGUAAUACUAUACUUUACUUAAGUAGCCUCAAAAUCGUUUUCACUGAAGUCAAUCCAGUACACUUCAUGUCUAACCCAUUGAGAGCAUUUGAUCACAGAACAGUUGCACGUGUAUUUCACCAGUAAGAAUACUUAAAAACACUGGUGAUGCUUAUGUUCCACUUCUUAAUUCUGAUACAUGCCUAAAAUUAAGAAAGAAUUAAGUGUGCGGACAUGGAUAUAGAUGUGCAAAUGCAUAUCAUGUGCAUAUAUAUGCAUACUCAUAUGUACAUGCAUACAUGUAUGCAUAAAUAUAUAUAUAAUCUGUAUGCACAAAUACAAAUAAUUUACAUGCAUAUACAUCCAGAUAGAUAGCUUACAUGUAGCAAAAGACUCCCAGGAAGGCACUGCAAGAAUCAGUGUUACUUCUUAACACUGUAGUAACGCAAAAGUAAUACAGCAUUACUUCUUAAGGCACUGAUUAUCACAGUGUCACUUCUUCAUGUAAUUCAGUAUUCACUUCUUCUUAGGAGUAGGAGCUGCAUGAACCUGUAUAUGAUAUGGAGCUCACACUCUUAUCUACUUACUCCGCCAAUGUUAAUUCAAGGACAGAAGAUGUACAUUUUUACUCAGAUAUAUGUAACAGCCGUUGAAGGUGAUGUUCUGCCUGCAAAUUUAGGAGAAUAGAGAACAUUUUAUAAGCACGAAUGUUUUCAACAUAGAAUGCACUAUAGAAUGCCAGUGAGCUGGUAUUUAGUACGAAAAACUGGUUAUUGAUUUGCAUUACGUCUCCAAAUGUUUUGAAUCUUCUAACUUCUUUCAGCGGGAUCACCCUGAAAUCUCUGGGGCUAAUCUCACCCAUGUGAACAGUGCCAGAAGAUUGUCUUCACUGCAGAGUGAAAGAGAAACUAAGUAAAAGCAGAGAUGGCAUUAAUCAUAAACAGCUUUAUCAGACAAAGGCCAUUAUGUAUAUCUGUGUACAAAUCUGACACAUUUUUCCUUGCCUUUGACAGUCCUGUGGAAAGGUUUAAAUGUACAAGGUAUGACUAAAGAUUUCAGAAACUCAUUACUGAAUAUUUCUUAAUCUUGUUCUCUUAUAAUUGUAGAACAAAUGGAAAUAAAUUAAUGUCUU